rnacentral:rRNA from 1 species
CAGCAGUGGAUGUCUAGGCUCGCACAUCGAUGAAGAACGCUGCGAACUGCGAUACGUAAUGCGAAUUGCAGGAUUCAGUGAGUCAUCGAAAUUUUGAACGCAUAUUGCACUUCCGGGUUAUCCCUGGGAGUAUGCCUGUAUCAGUGUCCGUACAUCAAACUUGGUUUUCUUCUUUCCGUGUAGUCGGUGGAAGAUAUGCCAGAUGUGAAGUGUCUUGUGGCUGCUUUUCGAAUCGGCCGUGAGUCCUUUGAAAUGUACAGAACGGACUCUCUUUGUUCAAAAAGCGCGGCGUUGCUGGUUGUGAAGGCUGUCAGUGUGAUUAAUCGGCGACCGGUUUGUCUGCUAUGGCAUCAAUGAAGGAGUGUUCAAUUCGCGGUAUGGUUGGCUUUGGCUAACAGGCGCUUAUGGAACGUUCUUUCUGCUAUGACAGUAUGAACUGGUGAACCGUAGUCGUACAUGACUUGGCGUUUGAAUCGGCUAUGCUGUGCGAAGUAGAGUGACAGUUUUGGCUGUCGAGGGUCGAUCAAUUUGGGAAAUUGUGCUGUGUGAUUUCGGUCGCGUGGCAUCUCAAUUGGACCUGAUAUCAGGCAAGAUUACCCGCUGAACUUAAGCAUAUCAAUAAGCGGAGGA